UACCAAAGAUUCCAAUAGAUUUUCGAGGUUCCGCAAGGCGUCAAGAUACCUUAAUAUAACUCGAGUGCGUCUCCAUUUUUAUCGUUUGUAUCGUCAUUCAGCUGAUGUUGCGGAGGCGUAUAGAAGCUUGCCAAUGCUAGUUGGAGAUCAACGUUUGAGCUGGGUAGUGGGGCAUUCCUGGAGGAAUUCCGGGACAGUCCAGAUACCCGGGACUCUUAGUUAAGUCAAGACUUGAGUCUUUCAUCAGUAACUAAACGAAGUCUAGUCUUUGUCAACGAGACUUAUCAACACUGAUCACUUCAAUCAUCAUCAACAACAUCAUUGUCAGCAUUCGUUGCAAUUCUGUUUUCUUCUUUUAAUUACUCUACUUCGUAUUGUUCAUUAAGAACAAUUUUUUUGUCUUCGUAGUAUUUUUUAAGUGAACAUAAAAAGUAAAAAUGCCAGGAGCUCAUGAAACGCGCAACCUUCUGACCACCUAUUUAAUCUUGCUUGCAUUGUUGAUCAGUUUAUGGCUGCUAUACUCUGGUCUUUUUUAAAGAUAAAUAUUCCCCAUCAUUUCGAUAAAAAUGGGUUAGCGAGGUGCAAAAAUAUUCUUCAGUAGCAUCAGCUUGGACUUCUCAGUAGCUGUUCAAUAAUGUUCUCCAACGUGUGCGUUCAAUUUCAAGGUCUUUGUGUGCGUGAGUGAGUUUCCAGUUAUUUAGAAGUUCCAAGAGCAAGAGGAAGUCAACAUGAAAACAUUCUAGUGGUAUUUUCAUAUUUAAAUGUCUCCAAUCACAUGCACAGGAUAAUCACCAGAGAAGAAUUGCGCAAUGUCUGCAAUGUGUACAAACGUGAAGAAAUUAAUUAAUGAGCUUUAAAGUCAUAUUAUAUUAUCAUCAUAAAUUAGUGAUGUUCAUUUAAA